rnacentral:tRNA from 1 species
CGCACGCGCGGCGCGCGAUCGUCCGCGUCUUCCGGCGACACGCAGGGUGCGGCCGCCGAUCGUGUCGGCCGCGUGCGC